GGGGCCGACCGGUUUUGACAGGAUGUUUGAGGUCGUAUAGAAGCAUGCAGGCUCAUAGGAUGAGAGCCUUGAAAGAUAGUCCUGAAUCAUACUUGGCGAGUCUAACUACGCCAUGGCUGCUUAAUUUAGCGAUUCGCUAAGUUACGCCUCGUCCCGAUAAGAUCGGGAAAGCCAUCAUCGCUCAGCACUGUCGUUUUGCAGGUGCUGGUUAGCGGUGUCGUUAUGCAGAACUGCUCCGCGCGAUGUUGCUAAGCGCGGCUAAGACACAGUAACUAAGGUGUAGUUUGGCUGUUGCCUGCCUUGCUACUCCCGACAAUUAAAGUCAACUAAGCAUGUAGAAGGUAUGAGUUCUUCUUCUCUGGACCAGAGUUCGAUUCUCUGCGGCUCCACUG
rfam:Ohtaekwangia koreensis strain DSM 25262 genome assembly, contig: LY03DRAFT_scaffold00001.1